UAGGGAAUCUUCCACAAUGGACGCAAGUCUGAUGGAGCAACGCCGCGUGAGUGAAGAAGGUUUUCGGACCGUAAAGCUCUGUUGUUGGUGAAGAAGGAUAGAGGUAGUAACUGGCCUUUAUUUGACGGUAAUCAACCAGAAAGUCACGGCUAACUACGUGCCAGCAGCCGCGGUAAUACGUAGGUGGCAAGCGUUGUCCGGAUUUAUUGGGCGUAAAGCGAGUGCAGGCGGAAGAAUAAGUCUGAUGUGAAAGCCCUCGGCUUAACCGAGGAAUUGCAUCGGAAACUGUUUUCUUGAGUGCAGAAGAGGAGAGUAGAACUCCAUGUGUAGCGGUGGAAUGCGUAGAUAUAUGGAAGAAUACCAGUGGCGAAGGCGGCUCUCUGGUCUGCAACUGACGCUGAGGCUCGAAAGCAUGGGUAGCGAACAGGAUUAGAUACCCUGGUAGUCCAUGCCGUAAACGAUGAGUGCUAAGUGUUGGGAGGCUUCCGCCUCUCAGUGCUGCAGCUAACGCAUUAAGCACUCCGCCUGGGGGAGUACGACCGCAAGGUUGAAAC
rnacentral:rRNA from 1 species